UUGCCUGGAGUUCCAGACGCCUAGGCAAGAGCCCGCUGCGCCCCCUGCGCGCUCCUCCUGCUCGGAGCACGGCUCCUACCUGUAGAGUCCGGACGGGCGCUCCCUCCCCGGGCACCUACGCCUUCUCCUCUUUCGGAAAUCUCCCGUCCAGCUACCUGGGUCUCGGACAGGCGGCACUGGGACCACGAGGCAGGGCGCCAGGCUUGAAGCAGGUGACAUGUAGACGUCCCCUGGUCCAGCCUCGGAACCUGAGCGCCCUUCUGCCUGGAAAGUUUGUGGCUAGGCGCCAUGGCCAAGAGCAGCUCCCUGAAUGUUCGCGUGGUGGAGGGCCGCGCGCUGCCUGCCAAGGACGUGUCUGGGAGCAGCGACCCGUACUGCCUAGUGAAAGUGGACGACGAGGUGGUGGCCAGGACAGCUACUGUCUGGAGGAGCCUGGGCCCCUUCUGGGGGGAGGAGUACACGGUGCACCUGCCUCUGGAUUUCCACCAGCUGGCCUUCUACGUGCUGGAUGAGGACACCGUCGGGCACGACGACAUCAUCGGCAAGAUCUCUCUGAGCAGGGAGGCAAUUACAGCCGACCCCCGAGGGAUUGACAGCUGGAUUAACCUGAGCCGUGUGGACCCAGAUGCAGAAGUGCAGGGUGAGAUCUGCCUGUCAGUGCAGAUGCUGGAGGAUCGGCGGGGCCGCUGCCUUCGCUGCCAUGUGCUUCAGGCCAGGGACCUGGCUCCCAGAGACAUCUCUGGCACAUCUGACCCAUUUGCACGUGUGUUUUGGGGCAGCCAGAGCUUGGAGACCUCAACCAUCAAGAAGACUCGCUUCCCACACUGGGAUGAAGUGCUGGAGCUGCAGGAGAUGCCAGGUGCCCCGUCCCCACUGCGGGUGGAGCUCUGGGACUGGGACAUGGUGGGCAAGAACGACUUCUUGGGCAUGGUGGAGUUCUCUCCGAAGACCCUCCAGCAGAAGCCACCUAAUGGCUGGUUCCGCCUCCUGCCCUUUCCCAGAGCUGAGGAGGAUUCUGGGGGGAACCUGGGUGCCCUGCGAGUGAAGGUACGCCUGAUUGAGGACCGCGUCCUGCCCUCCCAGUGCUACCAGCCUCUCAUGGAGCUGCUCAUGGAGUCUGUGCAGGGGCCAGCAGAGGAGGACACUGCUAGCCCCUUGGCUUUGCUGGAAGAGCUGACCUUGGGGGACUGCCGCCAGGACCUUGCCACCAAGCUGGUGAAACUCUUUCUUGGCCGGGGACUGGCUGGGCGCUUUCUGGACUAUCUCACCCGGCGUGAGGUGGCUCGGACCAUGGACCCCAACACCCUCUUCCGUUCUAACUCCCUGGCAUCCAAGUCGAUGGAACAGUUUAUGAAGCUCGUGGGCAUGCCCUACCUGCACGAGGUCCUGAAGCCUGUGAUUAGCCGCGUCUUUGAGGAGAAGAAGUACAUGGAGCUGGAUCCCUGCAAGAUGGACCUGGGCCGCACCCGGAGGAUCUCCUUCAAAGGCGCGCUCUCAGAGGAGCAGAUGCGGGAGACCAGCCUGGGGCUGCUGACGGGCUACCUGGGGCCCAUCGUGGACGCCAUCGUGGGCUCCGUGGGGCGCUGCCCGCCCGCUAUGCGCCUCGCCUUCAAGCAGCUGCACCGGCGCGUGGAGGAGCGCUUCCCCCAGGCAGAGCACCAGGAUGUGAAGUACCUGGCCAUCAGCGGAUUUCUCUUCUUGCGAUUCUUUGCGCCUGCCAUCCUUACCCCAAAGCUGUUUGACCUUCGGGACCAACACGCGGACCCCCAGACUAGCCGCUCACUGCUGUUGCUUGCCAAGGCUGGAGUGCAGUGGCACGAUCUUGGCUUACUGCAGCCUCUGCCUCCUCAGUUCAAGCGAUCUUCCCACCUCAGCUUCUGGAGUAGCUGGAUUUACAGGCGUGAGCCACUACAACCAGCUAAUUUUUGCAUUUUUAGUAGAGAUGGGGUAUCACCAUGUUGGCCAGGCUGGUCACAAACUCCUGACCUCAAGUGAUCCGCUUACUUCGGCCUCCCAAAGUGCUGGGAUUACAGGCAUGAGCCACUGUGCCCGGCAAUAUGAGUCUUCUUUUAUUGAGCACUGAUUUGGGAGCCAGGUGGGGCCCUCCCCUCUGCUGUGACCUUGGCCCCGGCAUCCCUCACUUCUUUGCUCCAGGCUGUGCAGAGCAUCGGAAACCUGGG
rnacentral:sRNA from 1 species